rnacentral:rRNA from 1 species
GACGAACGCUGGCGGCGUGCUUAACACAUGCAAGUCGAGCGGUAAGGCCCUUUCGGGGGUACGACGAGCGGCGAACGGGUGAGUAACACGUGGGUGACCUGCCCUCAGCUCUGGGAUAAGCCUGGGAAACUGGGUCUAAUACUGGAUAUGACUCCACGGUGCAUGUCGUGGGGUGGGAAGCCUUGUGCGGCUGAGGAUGGGCCCGCGGCCUAUCAGCUU